UAUCUUAAAAAAAAGAAAAGUGAUUACUGAAGUUAUUACAUAGGUGAAAAAUUUUACUGGGAGAUUAAUGUCUGCACGUUCUUCCCAUUUUACCCAAACCAAGCCACACAGUUCGCACGGGCCGCCCCCACGCAGCUCGUGGAGCCCAAGCCAGCUGCCGCUCAGCCUCCCAGAGUCGCCGCCCACGCUGCACGCGCCCUGUAAAAACCCUGACACGCAGCAGCGAACUCGGAGCUGCCCAGCGGCCUCUGCGUCCGCACGGCCAGCACGCCCUGGCCUCGACCCUCAGAGCCGCGGGGGCCUGGACUCUUCACGACAGUUUUCCGGCACAUGGUCGUAAAGUGUCUGAGGGCAGGGCUCCUUGGCGUGGGUCAGGCGCAGACUUGCGGGUGUGUGGGGGGCUGGGAGUAAGAGCCCAGUUUCAUCCGAGAGGGGCGUUCGGGCCCGGACUGGAGCGGGCCCGCUAGAGUACGCGGCUGCUGCCCAGCUCCUGCUGUUUGCGAUGGUGCAGGCCCAGCAUGGCCUGUCGUGUGAGGCUGAAAGUCUGGGUUGAAAUCUGUUGAUUUAUAAAUGUUAGCAGCUAAAACAGAACAAAACAGACGCACUGUCCGAUCAAACAGCGCCGUGCACUGAGCACGGGUGGAGGCUGCCUGAGCUCCUGAGGCCUCCGCUCGGCGUGGCCGCGGACCCGGAGGGGAUGAGAGGUCUUCAGGCCCGGGAGGAUUCGGGAGGUGGUUCCUCCCACUGGCUGCAGGAACCCGAUCUUGUCUUUAUUUAAAAGUUUGAUAUUUUGUUUAUCAUGGGUUUCUUGGCAUUAAUUUUGAUUCAAAAAGAUGUUGCAUUAAAGUAUUAUUUAUCUGAUUACUAGGUUUUUUGGCCCCUCCUUUAAGUUUUGCUCAGCAGGCAAGGGUCUCACUCAGCUCAGCCUCGUCCCGGCCCCGCUGCCCCCACUGGGAGGUAGUUUCCAGGGAGGGGACAAGAGACUCGGUUCGGGUGCAUCUUAUAAUUGAUGGUGUCUGACAAUCACUCAACCAGAUGAGAGUCAUGACUUAGGAGUAUGAAAAUCAUCUGUUGACAUUUUCUGCCCUCAAGCAACUCCAAGGUGGUGGUAGGAGCUGGUGGCAAUGAAAGCCUCAGGAGCUGAAACUCAAGAGAGAAGAACUCUACCCUCUGUUCUGGUGAGCUGUGGUUCCAAGGAGGGUCAACCCUGUUGAUUUUUUUCUCUCUGUGUUCUGCUGCUUUGCCCCAGAUGUGGGUGCAGUUACGGAAGUGGACAGCACAGCACAGUAACAAGCCCUAGCCUUCUAACCAGAGGACUGAAAAGAAGAGUGCCAGGAAUCUAAAAUACUGGGAAGACUGUAGAGAGAACGAUGCUCUGGAAAGCAGCCAGUCUGGAAAGCGACAGCAUAAGGGUGUUUAUGAACUCCUGGGCUCACCUGAGCUGCACACACAUGAAUCUGAUCCUAUUCAGUAUAUCAAAGACUUUGAGACUAAACUAACAGACCACUACGAGACUGACCACUGGACGGCACACACUUGGUAUAAAUCUGAAUAGCACUGCAAAGGCUUUGACAACUGAAAUGAUGAUGGAACCACAGCCCAAAUAAAGUGGGCUGGAACUUCGGACCUGAACCUAACUAGGUAAACUGCCUUCUAAAACAAAAAUAUCAACAUUCUUUGGGAUUUAAAUAAGACAUAGAGUCUUAUAACACAACAUUUAAUCCAAAAUAUGUAAUACAAAAUUACUCAGUAUACAAAAAUAUCAGGAAAACUUCAACUUGCAUAGGAAAAGAUAAUCAACAGAUACCAAUACCUGAUGAUACAGUUGUUAGAAUUAUAUGACAAAGAAUUUAAAGUAGGUAUUAUAAAAAUGCUACACCAAAAAUGGUGAAUACUCUUGAAACCAGUGGGAAAAUAGAAAGUCUUAGCAAAGAAAAAUAAAAAGACAUAAAGAAGAACCAAAUGGAAAUUUUAGAACUGAAAAACAUAAACAAAAAUAAAAGCUCACCAGAUUUGGCUCAGUUGCAGGGUGGAAAUGAUAGAGGAAAGAAUCAGUGAACUUGAAGAUGGAUGCUUAACUUGCAUAGCUGAGUCCCACCCCAGCAAUUGCCCUUGGCUGAAAAGAGCUAAGUCAUCCAAGAUUACACCCCCUCUGCAGGUCCAUGGUGGAGGUAUAAAGGCCCAGCCCUCUUGCCUGCAUUCAGGAUAACUCUGCAGAGUCAUCCCAGUUCUACAGAUUUCCAUAGGAUCCUUUGAAUCCUUUGUGGCAAUCACACUACAGUUCCACUUCUCCCUCUGUCCAGUCUUGAUUCCCUCAGUCUCUCACAUUGUUGCCACAAGCACUCGCCAAUAAACAAUGCAACACAGAUCUCCAUUUCAGUCAGUGUCCAACCUAAUACACUUAACAAAUAUCAAUAGGGUGAACUAGAAACAUUCAUGUGUGUGUGUCUGUAAAUUUCUAGUAGUAUGUUAAAGACUGUAAUCGGAUAUGUGCAUCAAGUACUUUGAUAUGACUAUUUUUCAUCUUCAUUCUGUGUGAAACAGUGUAGAUCAACUGUAUAGACAGGGAAAUUGAAAAAACGAUUAAUUGCAACAAAUAACACAGUGCCUAAUGCAUAUUAGAUACCCAAAAUAUAUUGAAUGAAUAUGAUAACUUGUAAUGGUGAUGAGGACAGAGGGAUGGUGAGAAGCAAGGUUUCUGGAGCACUGGGUCUCACUUGCUGUGUGAUCUUAAGCAAGUUACUGAACCUCUUUAAAUCUCAGGGGGUUUCUGUCUUUCUGUUUUCAGGUAGAUGCAAGGCAUCUGGCAUAGUUACGACACGUGGUACAGGCUCAGUCAAUGUUAGGCGCUUAUUGUAGAGUUUGCUCCUCAUGAUAGGUGAGUGAGGUUGGAACCAUCACUACCACCUGGCCUAGCCUAAGGCCCAGAAAGGUUUCAGGGUUCUCAGCCCUUUUUAUGCUCUGGACCCCCUUUGGCAGACUUUUGAAGUCUGGAAAAAGUCACCAGCUUUGCUGUUGUUUGUUGUCUACAUUCAUUCAUAUUUGAAGAAAAUGCUAAAUUUCAGCUACGUUAGUGAAAACACACAUGUAAAUUUACUUCCCAUUCAAAUUCCAAAUCACUCAAAUUCUGUCUGUGGAUUCCAGGUUAAGAAUACUUGGGUUAAAUGAUUUACCUUGAGUUCACAGAAAGAAAAUACCUACAGGCUUAGACUUAUAAGAGACUAAGAUCAAGCUGAUUUUUUUUUAAUUUUUUUUUUUCCUUUUUCUCCCCAAAGCCCCCCGGUACACAGUUGUAUAUUCUUAGU